UUAAUUGAAGAGUUUGAUCAUGGCUCAGAUUGAACGCUGGCGGCAGGCCUAACACAUGCAAGUCGAGCGGAAACGGCRGUAUUGAAGCUUCGGUGGAUUUACUGGACGUCGAGCGGCGGACGGGUGAGUAACGGCUGGGAACCUGCCCUGACGAGGGGGAUAACCGUUGGAAACGACGGCUAAUACCGCAUAAUGUCUURRUUCRUUAGAGYYRGGACCAAAGGUGGCCUCUACAUGUAAGCUAUCGCGUUGGGAUGGGCCCAGUUAGGAUUAGC
rnacentral:rRNA from 1 species